GUGCUCACUUCAGCAACACAUAUACUAAACUUGGAAUGAUAGAGAGACGAUUAGCAGGCCCCUGAGCAAUGAGAACACACAUAUUUGUAAAACAUUCCAUAUAUUU